rnacentral:lncRNA from 1 species
GAAUAAAAGCAGGCUGCCAAGAGCCAGCUGCGGCAAGUCGCUCAGGUCUCCAGCUUAGUUGUUUUGCUCUCUGCAGUAACUCUUGCUGGUGCUAACUGUUUGGGUCCGCACUGUCUUUGUGAGCUGUGACACUCAUGGCGAAGGUCUGCAGCUUCACUCUUGAGGCCAGCAAGACCACGAACCCACUGGGAGGAAUGAACAACUCCAGACGCACCGCCUUGAGAGCUGUAACACUCACCGCCAAGGUCUGCAGCUUCACUCCUGAAGCCAGGGAGAUCACGAACCCACCAGAAGGAAGAAACUCCAAACACGUCCGAACAUCAGAAGGAACAAACUCCCGACACACCAUCUUUAAGAACUGUAACACUCACCGAGGCAGCUGUAUGGAGGCCAAUAUGCAGACAAGGGAAGUAACUCAGGCAUUUUGGGGGAGAGGUACAGAAAGAAGAGAAAAGACUGAACUGACUGCUGUUCUGAACAAGAACUGUGACUAUAUGUGGUACUCCCAGAAUGCUGGUUUCCUUUCAGACCCAUCAAGUGGCCAUCCUAUUGGCUUGGACUGAAGACCCCCACUGGAGAACUGUCUCUGCAGCCUAUACUGAUGACACUGGCCACUGUCCAGGGCUCCACCCCAAGGAGUCCAAGCCCCAGACAUUUAGCCUUAGAGAGAAUCCAGAUUUUGCAUUUCCAGUGCAGGGAUUGAUGGAGCCUUGUGUAUCAAAGUGCCAAUUUCUUUCUAACAAGCUAGGGAGGAUACCGUUGACAGCAGCAGAAAGGGGUAGCAGUGGUUUGCUUUCCAAAUGGUAAUAAGAAGGGCCUGGCAGUGGCAACCUGUCCACGUAUCAUUAAAAAUGGACUCUCCUGCUUCGUUUGGAAUUCAACCCAAUGAACUUGAAUAAACUCUGGACAAUGACCAGCACAGAGCCCUAAGCAGGAUACAGCAAGAUUAUUUGCUUUACUCAUCCACUGAGUACCUACCAUGUGCCAAAUACUAUGCUAUAUGCCGAGUAUACACUGGCAAAUAAAACAGAUAUGGUCCCUGGAGCCUAUGAAUCUUACCCCAUCUAGCCACAAAUAAUAAAAAUAAGAAGAAUCUGAAGGACAAGUGGGACAGAAAUACUCAAGCAGAAUGAGGGUGAGAUUGAAGUCCCUGAACAUACAGUGCCCUUUACACUUGAUCUUAGCCAAAAGGCCGAGAAGAGAUUACAGUGCUUUUUAAAGGUAGCAUUUCACCCAGCCAAUAAUCAAUCCCUUUGGCCUUCUUGAGGUGCAAGGCCACACACUCAAAUUCUUUAAUCAAACAAUAGGCUAGUGCAAAUGGAGCUAUUUCUUAAACCCAGCUGUUUACACAGCAGCUACAAAUCUGUUCAGAAGGAAUCCCCCACCAUCCACAACUGUCUAUCGAGCAGAUGUGCAAGAGUAUUUGUCUCUCACCACCAGGGUUGCAGUCAGGACAAGAGAGCAGGUUUGAACGUCUUCGGCUCCUAGAACUGCACAAGCUGUGUCUUCAGUGCCCAGAGGCGGCUGCAACGUCUCCCCAGUUCUCCUCUCAGAACAAUGGAAAUUUUUUUUAGAGGCGUAAUAGGAAGGUUUGCAUUGAAUUAUUAAACAAUGGGUAUUGAAAAAUAUGUUUUCUUUGACCUCUGUACUUCUAGCUUUUACCAGUCAGUGUUUUCUUGUACCAAGGCUAAGAUAUGUAUAACACUGAAAUGGAUGUCUUCUUAUAUAAUAUUUUACAAGCUUUUGAAAACCUGUGCCCUUUAAUAAAUUUUAAAACGUUUCAUGC